rnacentral:rRNA from 1 species
GAUGAACGCUGGCGGCGUGCCUAAUACAUGCAAGUCGAGCGAACAGACGAGGAGCUUGCUCCUCUGACGUUAGCGGCGGACGGGUGAGUAACACGUGGAUAACCUACCUAUAAGACUGGGAUAACUUCGGGAAACCGGAGCUAAUACCGGAUAAUAUAUUGAACCGCAUGGUUCAAUAGUGAAAGACGGUUUUGCUGUCACUUAUAGAUGGAUCCGCGCCGCAUUAGCUAGUUGGUAAGGUAACGGCUUACCAAGGCAACGAUGCGUAGCCGACCUGAGAGGGUGAAUGGGCACACUGGAACUGAGACACGGUCCAGACUCCUACGGGAGGCAACAGUAGGGAAUUCUUCGGAAUGGGCGAAAGCUUGACGGAGCAACGGCGCGUGAGUGAUGAAGGUUCUCGGAUCGUAAAACUCUGUUAUUAGGGAAGAACAAAUGUGUAAGUAACUAUGCACGUCUUGACGGUACCUAAUCAGAAAGCCACGGCUAACUACGUG